UCAUGCUAUAUUUAAAUGUUCAUUCAUUAAAUUGUUUAAAAGGUAAAUGACCUGCUUGUCGUGUUGAAGGUUCAUUAAUUCAGACCCCAGCAGGAACUGAAGAGUCACAUCAGUCCAUCUACUGAAAGAGGGAUUUCUGCCUGUUUUGACUGUUUUCAUGGAUUUUAUCAGCCCAGCUGAAGACGGUCGAGCCAUCGGCAGAGCAGCAGCACCAACCGUCCUCCUUCCUCCAGGACUUCUGGGCCAGAACACAGUGACCCCGUCAGCCACUGAUGCCCAGGAUUUAAAGUCCAGCUGUUCUGGAUGUGUUGCUGACAGUCCAUCAGAGAGAAGCAGACCUCACAGCUGCAGGAAGCUGCUUCACUCCGCCUCAGCUUCCCCACUGGUCUGGUGCUGGACGCCCCCUGCUGGUACAAACCGGGAAUGGCAGAGACAGUCUAAGUACAGGAUGAAAACAAACUGCUUUAGUGACCUGCAGCGACCUUUAGUAACCUUUAGUGACCUGCAUUGACCUGCAAGAAUGAGGAAUCUUUGUCGUCACACCACACCACAUGACCACGCCCUUUAAGCCCAAAUCAUGAAGCUCAGGAUGAAGAUGACCUGACAGCAUCAGCAUGUCUGUAAGGCGGAGCUUCAGCACCACGGACAGCGACUGUCCUGCUGACGUCCAUCAAGGGAGACGAAGCCGACCAGGAAGUGUCAACAACUGUCCAUAUCCCAUCAUGCACCAGGCGUUGCUCCAGACAGGCUGUGGCUCCAGAGUGUAACCCAGAACCAAGACCCCCCCACUACGGCCCCGCCUGUGGAACAGCCUGCCGGAGACCCUCAGG